AAAUCGCUGUGAAGAUGCAGUGUACCCGCGGCUAGACGGAAAGACCCCGUGAACCUUUACUACAGCUUGGCACUGAACAUUGAACCUACAUGUGUAGGAUAGGUGGGAGGCUUUGAAGACGUGACGCUAGUUGCGUUGGAGCCGUCCUUGAAAUACCACCCUUGUAUGUUUGAUGUUCUAACGUUGGCCCCUAAUCGGGGUUGCGGACAGUGCCUGGUGGGUAGUUUGACUGGGGCGGUCUCCUCCCAAAGAGUAACGGAGGAGCACGAAGGUGGGCUAAUCACGGUUGGACAUCGUGAGGUUAGUGCAAUGGCAUAAGCCCGCUUAACUGCGAGAAUGACGGUUCGAGCAGGUGCGAAAGCAGGUCAUAGUGAUCCGGUGGUUCUGAAUGGAAGGGCCAUCGCUCAACGGAUAAAAGGUACUCCGGGGAUAACAGGCUGAUACCGCCCAAGAGUUCAUAUCGACGGCGGUGUUUGGCACCUCGAUGUCGGCUCAUCACAUCCUGGGGCUGAAGUCGGUCCCAAGGGUAUGGCUGUUCGCCAUUUAAAGUGGUACGCGAGCUGGGUUUAGAACGUCGUGAGACAGUUCGGUCCCUAUCUGCCGUGGGCGUUGGAAGAUUGAAGGGGGCUGCUCCUAGUACGAGAGGACCGGAGUGGACGAACCUCUGGUGUUCGGGUUGUGUCGCCAGACGCAUUGCCCGGUAGCUAAGUUCGGAAUCGAUAACCGCUGAAAGCAUCUAAGCGGGAAGCGAGCCCUGAGAUGAGUCUUCCCUGAUACUUUAAGUAUCCUGAAGGGUUGUUCGAGACUAGAACGUUGAUAGGCAGGGUGUGUAAGCGCUGUGAGGCGUUGAGCUAACCUGUACUAAUUGCCCGUGAGGCUUAACCAUACAACACCCAAAGGGU
rnacentral:rRNA from 1 species